rnacentral:rRNA from 1 species
CCCUUAGAUGUUCUGGGCCGCACGCGUGCUACACUGAGUGGAUCAGCGGGUCAGGUUGCGCGAAAGUGUUUCCUAAUCUUGAAAUCCGCUCGUGAUGGGGAUUGACGGUUGCAAUUUUCCGUCAUGAACGAAGAAUACCUUGUAAGCGCGGGUCAUCAUCCCGCGCUGAAUACGUCCCUGCCCUUUGUACACACCGCCCGUCGCUCCUACCGAUUGAGUGGUCCGGUGAGGCUUUGGGAUCUGAGCGGAAAGAGCGUUUCGCUGUUUCUGCUCGGAAAACUCAGUCGAACCUUAUCAUUUAGAGGAAGGAGAAGUCGUAACA